AAAAAAGCUAAUAAAAUUAAAAAUUUUUCUUUCAGUUUUCUGAAAAAAAUGAAAAUGAAAUCUAAGAUGGAUAAAUUAUUUAAUAUCUUCAUAUAAAAUGAGAGUGAUGAGACAAUCCAAUAAUACAUCAAUAUUUAAAUUGAAAUUUUAUUUUAGAAGCUCAUUAAAAGACGAUUCAACCCAUUCUCUAAUUCACCGUAAACAUGUUCAGAGCCAAGGAGAAUUAUAAAUAGGAGUGACCACAGACUUCACUUGCAGAUACUUAUGCAGAGCAUCCAAUCCAAGAUCUUUUCCAAACCCACUCAUCUUGUAUCCUCCAUAAGGACAAUCAUUAUCAAAUCCAAAGUAACAAUUGAUCCAAAUGAUACCAGCUCUUAUUGAUCUUGAAACUGUGUUAGCCACAUCCAAAUUCUUGGUUAUAAUCCCAGCUGCCAGCCCAUAUCUUGUAUUAUUUGCACUCUUGAUUGCCUCAUCCAUUGUCUUGAACUUCAUCAGUGACAUUACAGGCCCAAAAAUUUCAUCCUUGGCGAUCAACAUGUCCUCCUUAACAUCAGUGAAAAUAGUAGGCUGAAUAUAGUAUCCUUUUUCUCCAGUAGGCUUGCCACCUAUUAACAAGGUGGCUCCUUCUCUUUUGCCAUGCUCAAUGUAAGACAAAAUUUUAUCGAACUGCUGUUUAUCCACCUGUGGACCCUGGCGAGUGUUAGGAUCAAAAGGAUCCCCUACCACCCAUUGCUUUGCUUUCUCUGCCAAUUUCUUUACAAAUUCGUCAUAAAUCCCUUCUUGGACAUAAACUCUUGAACUUGCCACGCAAAUCUCUCCCUGGAAAAAUGAAUCAAAAGGAAAAUAAUAUAGGAGACAAAUACGUACCUUGGAAACUAAAUCGGAGCAUAAAGGAAAUGAAUUAAUUUGCCUUGUUAAAGAGGAUGCCGAGGAGAGCAAGAUCAGCAGCUGUAUCUACAUCAGCAUCAUCAAAUAUUAAGAGAGGUGAUUUGCCUCCCAAUUCAAGUGAAACAUGUUUCAGAUUGCUCAUUGCUGCAGCUUGCAUUACUUUUCGACCCACUUCAGUCGAUCCUGUAAAACUUACCUGAAAAGACCACUAAACGUGUAAACUGAAGGGGAGGAAAAUUAAGGUGGCAGGAUUUGAAUUCUUAAGUCUUUAACUUCACCUUAUCAAUGUCCAUAUGGGAAGAAAUGGCAGCACCGGCAGUCGGUCCAUAUCCGUUUAUCACGUUGAUCACUCCAUCAGGAAUACCAGCCUGCUUAGCUAAAUAAGCAUAAUAUAGAGCAGAAAGGGGUGUUUGCUCAGCUGGUUUGACAACCAUGGUGCACCCAGCGGCUAAUGCUGGGGCAACCUUGGCGAAGAACAAGGUGCUAGGGAAAUUCCAAGGGAUGAUAUGGCCUACAACACCAACUGGCUCUUGCAGAGUGUACCCUUGAAGCUCGCUUGACAUUUUCAAUACUUGUCCAUGAAUUUUAUCUGCUGCACCUGCAUAGUAUCGUAAAACGUUUGCUACGUUAGGAAUGUCCAUGGUUUUCCCCAAGCUGAACAACUUCCCAGCAUCAACUGUGUCCAGUGCAGCUAAUUCUUCCUUAUGUUCUUCGAUUAAAUCUGCAUAUUUCAUCAUGAUCCUUCCCCUUGCAAAACCAGACAGGCGAGGCCAUGGACCAUUGUCAAAAGCGUGGCGUGCAGCCUUCACAGCCAAAUCAACGUCCUCUUUAUCUCCUUCUGCAACUCUUGCUAUCACCUCUCCGCUUCUCGGGUCUACUGUCUCAAAUGUUUUCCCUGAAAAUGAAUCAACAAAUUCUCCAUUGAUGAAAAGUUUCGUAAACUUUAUUGUUGGCAUCUUGAUGAAAGAGUUAGAGUUCCCAUUGCUUUGACUUCCCAUCUCUCUCUCUCCCUCUCUCUUCUUCUCUUUUGCUCUUAGAGUGGCCUAUGACUAGCUCUGCAGACUGCAACAAGCAUCCUUCAACAUUUAUAGACAGGCUCCUCCAUAGACUGCUAGAACUGCAAGAACCACAUAAAAGAAAACUCAAAAAUUAUAUACGCCCAGCCAAAGGUGGUCAGGAUGGAACCCAAGAUUGGACGGGAAUGAAAGCUUUCCCCUGCCCAAAAGCGGCAAUGGAGAGCCAAAAAGGACGAGCUCCCUUGAGCAAAAGAAGACCACAACAGAGAAGAGAAAACGCGCAAAAG
rnacentral:misc_RNA from 1 species